UGUUGGGGCUGUAGGGGGUCCUCAGGUUGCUCUGCAGUUCAGAGGGGCUAGGACGCGCAGGUGUUAAGAGUCCCUCUGAGAAAGGGAGGUGCUGACGCAGGGGCUUGAGUACUGGAAACCUUGCCAUCACCUCCUUCCCGCUGCUCUGCCCGGCCCCCGCCCGGAACUUCUAUUGGUUCGGUAGUUGGCGUUUGAUUCCUCCCACACCCACAAAACAAAAACGUUCUGCUCAUUUCUUCUCCAUUAGGCACAAUAAAGAGUACAGCUCUCCAACCGAAAGAGGAAAGAUCCCUGCCUGGAAAUCGGGGACCUUACCCGUUCUUGGGACUUCAGCCCAUUGUUCCAUUUCUCCCCUAGCUGAGUAGGCUGAACACCCAUCGUGGGGCCUGAACUCACACAACCAUGAGAUCAAGAGUCGAAUGCUCUACUGACUGAGCCAGCAGCCACCUCUCUUCAGAUGAUUCUACUGUGAGCUUGGGUUGAGGACUACUGCACUAAAUGAUUUGGAUCAUAUCUACCAUUUAUUUGGCAUCAAACCCUUUACAUUGAUGGCUGUUUUAUACACAGCAUAAAUAAUCGUCACAAGUGU